AGUGAACGCUGGCGGUAGGCCUAACACAUGCAAGUCGAACGGCAGCACAGUAAGAGCUUGCUCUUACGGGUGGCGAGUGGCGGACGGGUGAGGAAUACAUCGGAAUCUACUUUUUCGUGGGGGAUAACGUAGGGAAACUUACGCUACUACCGCAUACGACCUACGGGUGAAAGCAGGAGAUCUUCGGACCUUGCGCGAUUGAAUGAGCCGAUGUCGGAUUAGCUAGUUGGCGGGGUAAAGGCCCACCAAGGCGACGAUCCGUAGCUGGUCUGAGAGGAUGAUCAGCCACACUGGAACUGAGACACGGUCCAGACUCCUACGGGAGGCAGCAGUGGGGAAUAUUGGACAAUGGGCGCAAGCCUGAUCCAGCAAUACCGCGUGAGUGAAGAAGGCCUUCGGGUUGUAAAGCCCUGUUGUUGGGAAAGAAAAGCAGCAGGUGAAUACCCCGCUGUUCUGACGGUACCCAAAGAAUAAGCACCGGCUAACUUCGUG
rnacentral:rRNA from 1 species